GUAGGGAAUCUUGCGCAAUGGGCGAAAGCCUGACGCAGCCAUGCCGCGUGAAUGAUGAAGGUCUUCGGAUCGUAAACUUCUAUCCUUGGUGAAGAUAAUGACGGUAGCCGAGAAGGAAGCCCCGGCUAACUACGUGCCAGCAGCCGCGGUAAUACGUAGGGGGCAAGCGUUGUCCGGAAUGAUUGGGCGUAAAGGGCGCGUAGGCGGCCUGGUAAGUCUGGAGUGAAAGUCCUGCUUUUAAGGUGGGAAUUGCUUUGGAUACUGUCGGGCUUGAGUGCAGGAGAGGUAAGUGGAAUUCCCGGUGUAGCGGUGAAAUGCGUAGAGAUCGGGAGGAACACCAGUGGCGAAGGCGACUUACUGGACUGUAACUGACGCUGAGGCGCGAAAGUGUGGGGAGCAAACAGGAUUAGAAACCCCGGUAGUCC
rnacentral:rRNA from 1 species